rfam:Triticum aestivum genome assembly, contig: Triticum_aestivum_CS42_TGACv1_scaffold_031051_1BL
AUUCUACUCCCACUGUUGCACAAUACAUGCCUUCUAUUUGUCAAAAUAUAUAUGUAUCUAGACAUGUUUUAGUAAAUAGGUACAUCCAUUUUUGGACAAAUGGAAGUCAAGUAUUUUGGAAUGGUGGGAGUGCACA